rnacentral:tRNA from 1 species
GCCGCCGUAGCUCAGUCUGGUAGAGCAGCGGGCUGUUAACCCGUUGGUCGGAGGUUCAAAUCCUCCCGGCGGCG